rnacentral:rRNA from 1 species
CACGGGGGGAGCAAGCGUUGUUCGGAAUCACUGGGCGUAAAGGGCGUGUAGGCGGUCAGGUAAGUGGGAUGUGAAAGCCCUCGGCUCACCCGAGGAUCUGCAUCUCAAACUGCCUGGCUUGAGUAUGGGAGAGGAUGAGGGAAUUCCUGGUGUAGCGGUGAAAUGCGUAGAUAUCAGGAGGAACACCGGUGGCGAAGGCGAUCAUCUGGCCCAAUACUGACGCUGAGGCGCGAAAGCUAGGGGAGCAAACGGG